GUGAAUCAUCGAAUUUUUGAACGCAAAUUGCGCCUUUUUCUAUAGGCAUGUCUGUUUGAGGGCGCGGUUUAACAAAUACUGUGCUGCUUUUUUUGUUGCACACGUUGUUGAGCUUUCCACGCAUUUUAUAUUUUUGGUGGCGCAUAAUGAACAGGUUGUGAGUUUUUUUAUGUUCGAGUGUAGAAAAAUUUUUUCUUGCUUGUGUUUUGUGAUGCAUG
rnacentral:misc_RNA from 1 species